UCGAGUCGAGAAGUAGACGAAUUGCAGCUGCCAGAAGCCGCGGACACGAGGCAGUCAUUAGAAACCUCAGUAUGUCCGUGGCAAGCUUGUCGUGUGACAUUGAAGCGCAUCGCUGGGUGGAAAGAGCAUCAUGCAAGGGUCUGUUGCGUGUUGCACCCUCUCCGUAGCAACAGGAUACCACGUUUUUUUCACAUUCGGGUAUACAACUUCAAUGUGCUCUGCCAACACUUCCAUUAUCUGGCUGAGAAGCCAUUUUGCUGGUUUGUGUGAGCCUGUGGCAGCGUGGUGCAUGAAGUGGUCGUGCAGUGUGACCAACAAAACUGCACUCUUUGAGAGCAGUUGCUCUCCAGCAAGCACGAGUGUUGCCGCUGGAGCCGUGUGUAUGCCCCGCUGUGCUAUAACAAUGGCAUUCAAUUGGUAAUCUGCGCUUGCGUAGCCGUCUACUGUAACCAAGGCCAGGUGUGCAUUGUAGCACUUGGUACAGUAGACGGCGUCCUCUGAAACAGUGAUGCCCUCAUCCUUCAGCUUUGCUGCCACAACCUGGUAAUUUGCAGCCUUCCGCAAUGGCUCUAGCUCCAUUGGCGCAUGGCAAUCGCCA